CCAGACUCCUACGGGAGGCAGCAGUGGGGGAUAUUGCACAAUGGGGGGAACCCUGAUGCAGCGACGCCGCGUGGGUGAAGAAGCGCCUCGGCGCGUAAAGCCCUGUCAGCAGGGAAGAAAAUGACGGUACCCAAAGAGGAAGCUCCGGCUAACUACGUGCCAGCAGCCGCGGUAAUACGUAGGGAGCGAGCGUUGUCCGGAAUUACUGGGUGUAAAGGGAGCGUAGGCGGGGAUGCAAGUUGGAUGUUUAAACUAUCGGCUCAACCGGUAAUUGCAACCAAAACUGCAACUCUUGAGUGAAGUAGAGGCAGGCGGAAUUCCUAGUGUAGCGGUGAAAUGCGUGGAUAUUAGGAGGAACACCAGUGGCGAAGGCGGCCUGCUGGGCUUUAACUGACGCUGAGGCUCGAAAGCGUGGGGAGCAAACAGGAUUAGAUACCCUUGUA
rnacentral:rRNA from 1 species